UGUAAGCGUAUACCAAAGUUGUUGCAGUUAAAACGCUCGUAGUCGGAAUUUGGCAGUUCCGGAUGUGUGCACGUCGUGUGCGCACUUUGCGGGGACUGCUUUUGUGGUCUUGCGUAGGAUGAGGCACUUUCAUUAGUGAACGUCCUCACGCAACCACUCUUUACUGUGAGAAAAUCAGAGUGCUCAAAGCAGGCAUUUGCCGUGAAUGUAUUAGCAUGGAAUAAUAGAAUAGGACUCGGUUCUAUUUUGUUGGUUUGUUGGGACUGAGUAAUGAUUAAGAGGGACAGUUGGGGGCAUUUGUAUUCCGGCGCUAGAGGUGAAAUUCUUAGAUUGCCGGAAGACAAGCUGCUGCGAAAGCGUCUGCCAAGGAUGUUUUCAUUGA
rnacentral:rRNA from 1 species